rnacentral:rRNA from 1 species
AGUGAACGCUGGCGGUAGGCCUAACACAUGCCAGUCGAACGGCAGCACAGUAAGAGCUUGCUCUUACGGGUGGCGAGUGGCGGACGGGUGAGGAAUACAUCAGAAUCUACUUUUUCGUGGGGGAUAACGUAGGGAAACUUACGCUAAUACCGCAUACGACCUACGGGUUAAAGCAGGGGAUCUUCGGACCUUGCGCGAUUGAAUGAGCCGAUGUCGGAUUAGCUAGUUGGCGGGGUAAAGGCCCACCAAGGCGACGAUCCGUAGCUGGUCUGAGAGGAUGAUCAGCCACACUGGAACUGAGACACGGUCCAGACUCCUACGGGAGGCAGCAGUGGGGAAUAUUGGACAAUGGGCGCAAGCCUGAUCCAGCCAUACCGCGUGGGUGAAGAAGGCCUUCGGGUUGUAAAGCCCUUUUGUUGGGAAAGAAAAGCAGCAGGUUAAUACCCCGCUGUUCUGACGGUACCCAAAGAAUAAGCACCGGCUAACUUCGUG